UUCUCCCCGAAAGCUAUUUAGGUAGCGCCUCGUGAAUUCAUCUCCGGGGGUAGAGCACUGUUUCGGCAAGGGGGUCAUCCCGACUUACCAACCCGAUGCAAACUGCGAAUACCGGAGAAUGUUAUCACGGGAGACACACGGCGGGUGCUAACGUCCGUCGUGAAGAGGGAAACAACCCAGACCGCCAGCUAAGGUCCCAAAGUCAUGGUUAAGUGGGAAACGAUGUGGGAAGGCCCAGACAGCCAGGAUGUUGGCUUAGAAGCAGCCAUCAUUUAAAGAAAGCGUAAUAGCUCACUGGUCGAGUCGGCCUGCGCGGAAGAUGUAACGGGGCUAAACCAUGCACCGAAGCUGCGGCAGCGACGCUGAUGCGUUGUUGGGUAGGGGAGCGUUCUGUAAGCCUGCGAAGGUGUGCUGUGAGGCAUGCUGGAGGUAUCAGAAGUGCGAAUGCUGACAUAAGUAACGAUAAAGCGGGUGAAAAGCCCGCUCGCCGGAAGACCAAGGGUUCCUGUCCAACGUUAAUCGGGGCAGGGUGAGUCGACCCCUAAGGCGAGGCCGAAAGGCGUAGUCGAUGGGAAACAGGUUAAUAUUCCUGUACUUGGUGUUACUGCGAAGGGGGGACGGAGAAGGCUAUGUUGGCCGGGCGACGGUUGUCCCGGUUUAAGCGUGUAGGCUGGUUUUCCAGGCAAAUCCGGAAAAUCAAGGCUGAGGCGUGAUGACGAGGCACUGCGGUGCUGAAGCAACAAAUGCCCUGCUUCCAGGAAAAGCCUCUAAGCAUCAGGUAACAUCAAAUCGUACCCCAAACCGACACAGGUGGUCAGGUAGAGAAUACCAAGGCGCUUGAGAGAACUCGGGUGAAGGAACUAGGCAAAAUGGUGCCGUAACUUCGGGAGAAGGCACGCUGAUAUGUAGGUGAAGUCCCUCGCGGAUGGAGCUGAAAUCAGUCGAAGAUACCAGCUGGCUGCAACUGUUUAUUAAAAACACAGCACUGUGCAAACACGAAAGUGGACGUAUACGGUGUGACGCCUGCCCGGUGC
rnacentral:rRNA from 1 species